rnacentral:rRNA from 1 species
UACGUAGGGAGCGAGCGUUGUCCGGAUUCAUUGGGCGUAAAGAGCUCGUAGGCGGCUCGGUAAGUCAGGUGUGAAAACUCUAGGCUCAACCUAGAGACGCCACCUGAUACUGCUGUGGCUAGAGUCCGGUAGGGGAGCAUGGAAUUCCUGGUGUAGCGGUGAAAUGCGCAGGAUAUCGAGGAGGAACGACCAGUGGCGAAGGCGGUGCUCUGGGGCCGGAACUGACGCUGGAGGAGCGAAAGCGUGGGGAGCGAACAGG